rnacentral:rRNA from 1 species
GACGAACGCUGGCGGCGUGCUUAACACAUGCAAGCCGAACGGUAAGGCCCUUCGGGGUACACGAGUGGCGAACGGGUGAGUAACACGUGGGUGAUCUGCCCUGCACUUCGGGAUAAGCCUGGGAAACUGGGUCUAAUACCGGAUAGGACUCCGGACUGCAUGGGCUGGGGUGGAAAGCUUUUGCGGUGUGGGAUGGGCCCGCGGCCUAUCAGCUUGUUGGUGGGGUGAUGGCCUACCAAGGCGACGACGGGUAGCCGGCCUGAGAGGGUGACCGGCCACACUGGGACUGAGAUACGGCCCAGACUCCUACGGGAGGCAGCAGUGGGGAAUAUUGCACAAUGGGCGCAAGCCUGAUGCAGCGACGCCGCGUGAGGGAUGACGGCCUUCGGGUUGUAAACCUCUUUCAGCAUCGACGAAGCGAAAGUGACGGUAGGUGCAGAAGAAGGACCGGCCAACUACGUGCCAGCAGCCGCGGUAA